GAUCCUGGCUCAGAACGAACGCUGGUGGCGUGCUUAUACAUGCAAGUCGAGCGAGGCAGCAAUGCCGAGCGGCGAACGGGUGAGUAACGCGUAAGCAAUCUGCCCCAUAUCAGGAAAUACCCGUGCCAACGCGCGGUUAAUGUCCAGGAGAGUGGCCCCCUGCAUGGGGGGUUGACUAGAGAUUUAUCGGUAUGGGAUGAGCUUGCGUCCGAUUAGCUAGUUGGCGGGGCAACGGCCCACCAAGGCGACGAUCGGUAGCCGGCCUGAGAGGGUGAUCGGCCACAUUGGGACUGAGAUACGGCCCAGACUCCUACGGGAGGCAGCAGUAGGGAAUAUUGCACAAUGGGGGAAACCCUGAUGCAGCAACGCCACGUGUGGGAAGAAGCAUUUCGGUGUGUAAACCACUGUCAUGAGGGAAUAAGGCCCUUAUUCGUAAGGGACUUGAAUGUACCUUGAGAGGAAGCACCGGCAAACUUCGUGCCAGCAGCUGC
rnacentral:rRNA from 1 species